AACAGCUGUCAGAAGUUGAAUCAUCUCAAAUUCAUUCAUGCAUCUUCUCUCUUUUGUGAUAGGAACUGCCCUUCGCUAUUCAAGAGAAAAAAAGAGCCCGGUACAAGAAUCAGUAAGCGGAGUAUACAGAGCCCGGAGAUCAAUAAGGGACUUGACGCUGCCCCAGUGUACGAUGACGUGUCCGAGUUCCCAGUCUACGCCACCGUGAGCAAGCCCAAGAAUAUGAAGCAUGAUGAAAGCAGCGUGCACUACGCGGACAUCCAGGUCUUCACUAAAAUCCGGGAACGUUCAGCUGAGGAGGUGAAAAAUCUCCAGUCGCAGAAUGCCACGGAGUAUGCCACCCUCAACUUCCCCCGAGCCACCCUGAAGUAUGACAACAAGAACGGGACUCUGGUGUAAAACCCAAAGUCUCUCUCGCUAUCCUACAGGAAAAUUAUGUCAAGAACUGCAGAUGCUCGGCUGUUUUGCUUGGGAAUGCUCAGAAAGACUGCCAUCUGGGUCAGGUCAGAAUGGACUCAUGGGAGCAAGAUAUUUUCUUGGGUGUGCCAAGAAAAUUAGCACUUCGGGCAGAGUAAGAAGUGGUGUGUCAGAGGAAAAAUGGCUUCUUGUAUCAUGUUACCAAGCAAGAUUGUGGGGAGACCAUGCUGGAGGAUGAAGCACAACUGAAACUGGAAAGGACAUAAUGUUUUGUAAGAUUUUUAAAAGCUUUCCAUAAGCAAUAAUUGCAGGAUUUUGUUAUAUCAAGAGGGGUUGCUCUGAAAAUAGAGUCCCCCCCCCCCUUGGGGGAAAAAGCACACUACAAAAACAUUUUGAGCUGUCUUAACUUAGACAUUUACUCCCAUUGGCAGCAAGAGGAUUAUUCCCUGGGAAAGACUGUGUGAAAUUUUGUGUGUGUUGGAAAUUCAGGGCAUACUUCCAUCUGUGUGGAAGAAAUGGGUACGAAUUUUCUUUGUCAGUGUAAGAAGUGGAUAAUUCCUUUGGCAGCUUAGCUCGUGAAAAAACAAUUAUCCAUUUUCUCUGAUGGAAGCACCAGGCUGAAAUAGCAACCCUGGCCCUGAUUGCCCAGGGUUAUUGUGGAAUGGUCUGUGAGGCAGGUUUUGAAAGAGAGAGAAUUCCCAGCACGGUUUCCGCGCAGUUAAAUUGAUCCAGGAAAAGGGCAAUUAUGAUGUAAAACUGCGGGUUCCCCACAUCCUAAAAUUAGCUUAUUUUCAAGUAAAAGAUGA